rnacentral:rRNA from 1 species
AACACAUGCAAGUUGAACGGGUCAUAUAUGAAGGGUAACCGGAGUGUAUGGCUAGUGGCGAACGGGUGAGUAAUGCAUGAGAACGUAUCCUCAAGAGGGGGACAACAUUGGGAAACCGAUGCUAAUACCCCAUAAGCCGGGAGGUAAAAGGAGGAAUCCGCUUGAGGGGCGGCUCAUGUCCUAUCAGCUGGUUGGCGAGGUAACGGCUCACCAAGGCGAAGACGGGUAGCCGGCCUGAGAGGGUGAACGGCCACACUGGAACUGAGAGACGGUCCAGACUCCUACGGGAGGCAGCAGUGGGGAAUCUUAGACAAUGGGGGAAACCCUGAUCUAGCCAUGCCGCGUGAUCGAUGAAGGCCUUAGGGUUGUAAAGAUCUUUCAGUGGGGAAGAUAAUGACUGUACCCACAGAAGAAGCCCCGGCUAACUCCGUGCCAGCCGCCGCUGUAACAC